rnacentral:tRNA from 1 species
GAGGGUACAGCUCAGUGGUAGAGCACACGCCUAGCACGCAUGAGGUCAAGGGUUCGAUCCCCAGUACAUCCA